rnacentral:rRNA from 1 species
UACGGGAGGCAGCAGUGGGGAAUAUUGCACAAUGGGCGCAAGCCUGAUGCAGCCAUGCCGCGUGUAUGAAGAAGGCCUUCGGGUUGUAAAGUACUUUCAGUCGUGAGGAAGGUGUUAAGGUUAAUAACCUUAGCAAUUGACGUUAGCGACAGAAGAAGCACCGGCUAACUCCGUGCCAGCAGCCGCGGUAAUACGGAGGGUGCGAGCGUUAAUCGGAAUUACUGGGCGUAAAGGGCACGCAGGCGGUUAAUUAAGUUGGAUGUGAAAUCCCCGGGCUUAACCUGGGAAUGGCAUUCAAGACUGGUUAGCUAGAGUCUUGUAGAGGGGGUUAGAAUUCCAUGUGUAGCGGUGAAAUGCGUAGAGAUGUGGAGGAAUACCGGUGGCGAAGGCGGCCCCUGGGACAAGACUGACGCUCAUGUGCGAAAGCGUGGGGAGCGAAACAGGGAUUAGAUACC